UUGCUCAAUGAUCACAGUCAGCUCUGAGAUCUGCUCUUCGAGGUCAGUAAUGAUAUCAGUCCUACAGGACAAAUCAUCCUUCCAUCACCCACCGAGUUUCCAUUCCGUGCCAGUCAGGCACCUCCUUGUCUGUGACUGUCUCUGGCAGGGAGCCAGGUGAAGAUCCUGAGGCUCAGAAUGAUCACAGAGGUAGCAAGUUGCAGGGCUGGGAAUAAGCACAAGUCUACUGGACUCCCAAGCCCUUGUUCCGUCAGGCUACACUAGCUCUCACCGAAAUAAGAAAAAGUUUCUACGGAAGCCACAGGAGUCAUACAAACACCUACGGGGCUCAGCACUGGAACAGCAGGACCCAUUACCCUAAACAUCUGUUCUCAUCAGUAACCCCAUUCAGGAUCCAGGGGAAUGCUUCUCCACACC